ensembl:lncRNA
CGUCCAGCCCAGAGGUCAGAAUGACAGGGGUCUCUGUGGGGCAAAGUCAAGGGGGGCAGGGCCGAGCUUUCUGGGGCUCUCAGGAGAAUCUGUUCCUGGCCUUCCCCAGCUCCUAGGGGACCCGGGUUCCCCUGACCCCGUCUUCAGUCAGCAAUGGCCAUGGCGGCCCCAUGUUACACCCCAGUCCUCUCCCUCCAAACACAGGUGGGACUUGUGGGGUCAGAUGGGGCUGUGCUGGGGAAUCUAGGAGAUGCACCAGUCCCAAAGUGCACUUCCCCAAACACAUCUGCAUAAUCUGGGUCGGAGCUCCAUCGGCACUGGCUGAAGCUGGAUUUGGGGGGCCAGGACCACAGUGUCUGUCACAGUCCCAAGCUCCCACCGUGUGUGGGCACUGUCACCGUGGUGGUUUGAAGACUGACUCCCCCUCCCACUUCCUAGUUCUUUGAAUUUAGGCCUAAAUAUUACUUCAUCCCUCUUAACCUCAGUUUCUCCACCUAUAAAUUGAGGGGGGGUCACAAUAGGACUUCCCUCUUCCCCUGCCAAGAGGAUCUUGCGACACGUAAACAAGAGGACACCUUCCCUGCAUGUGUCAUGUCAACAGCACAGCAGAACCGGGUCCCAUUCGUCACCGGGCAGCGCAGAGGAGUCUUGUGCUGUUUGCACCUCUGGGUCAGAGUUGGAUAAUCCAUUGAAACACCCGAGAAAAAAAGAAUGCACCUAGUGUUACAGAAUCCAAAGCGCGGACCUACUUCACCCUCUUCCCUUCCCCCCAGGGCUCUGCCCUCAGAGAGCCGCCCAAGGGGAAGAAAUAACCAAAACCCAGCACAGCACGACCACGGUGCGAAUGCCCCACACCCAAGCGGAGCAGGGGCGGACGCGGAAGCGGCGACCCAGACCCCGCAGCCCCGCCCGCCUGGCUCUCCACCCCCCCGCCACGUUUCCUUGCCCACAUUUCAUUAUCCACACGGUUAUCUUCCAGGCACCCAAAGACACACUUUGCUUCUGAGCCCUCUGUCUACCCAACCCGCUUUGUGGUUUGGUACCCAAAGUUUCAAACAGAUGUCAGGAAGUAGGAACUGUGUUAAGACUCCCUCCAAAGGCUGUGUAAAAUCGGGACUUUGAAGAUGGUGAAUGUUAAACCUAUGAUUUGAUGGAACUUCUCGCUUCAAACUCGUUUCCUCUUGGACAUCGGAAUCACAAAGGGAGACGCUGGCACCGAAGACCCCGGCAAGUGUGUAGGGCCCUCAGAGCUGGAUUUUGACUUCAGCAAGAUUUCUGUACAAUUUACCACAUCCUCAGGGGAUAAAGUCGUCCGAUCUUGUGAUUGUUAAGUUUAAUUAGGUAGAUAUGUACAUAUAAUACUGUCCAGGUCGCCUGGAUUUUACAGCGCUAUUAUAAACAGACAUUCUUCAUUCAUGUUGAUUAAAAAGAAAAACUCAAUGGACCCACUGGUGUGUAAGUAAAAUAUGGCCAGGAGUGAGUGCACAUGCGUUUUGUGCUUUUACACACACACAAGUCCAAGGGUGCCCCCGAGGACACCCUCAGGCGGGCCCGUUUCCUGGUGAUGUCUGCAGUGCACGCAGUGAAGACAGGACCCUGGCUCGGCCCAGCCCUGCCUGCACUCUGCUCUCGGAGCCCAGGCCCAAACCGCCUGAUUCUGCUGCCGUCUCCUGGGCCAGAUGAAACUGGGUAGAGUCCAGCGUCUCCAAGCAGGACUCACUGCGGAGACCACAUUCUCUGCAGCCAUGUGUUGGUUUGUGGGGAGGGUCCCCCAAAUGAGUGUGUGGUCCUCAAAGAAAACAUCCUAAAAUGGUCACGACAUGCAUUUCCUCUUGGAGGCAGUUCAGCAUGGCUGGAGAAGGAGUGGAGGCGCCCCUGGGUGACAGUUCUCGGGAGGGGACAUCCUGACAUCACCAAACACGGCGAGCUUCUCCAUCCGCCCUCAGUGUCAUCCCUUGUCGUCGAGAUGCGAGUGAGGAGACGGCACCCCUCAGCACUGGGCUGUGAGCCACUGGCGCCUUAGCGGAGCAGGGACAGCACCCCCAAUGGCGACAGUCCAUGGUGCCUGCCUUGGGCGGCUGUGUCUACCCAGAGCUUGGUUUCCUCUCAGGCAUGACGGGGACAAUCAUUCUUCACCCUCCAUGCUGGUUCCCACUACAGCGCUGGCACCCAGGGACAGCCGGUGUGUAGGGGACGGGAACAGACACCCAUGUGAUGGCUGUGGGCAGGAGCCAGCAUCCCUGGGGGAGGACCGUGCAGCUGCCGUGGACCGGGCUGCAGGAAUCCAACGGAUGCACCUCAGGCUGAGCACCCUGGCCAGGUGCCACAGCCGCUCAGCAAAGGCGGGCAAUGAGGCGGGAGGACCAGCACUCGAGGAGGGCCCUACCGUGGGACAACUACAGAUCAGUGCAAAUUCCCCAUCCAGAAAGCCGGGGCGGGACCAGCCCCCAGGCAGCGCAAGCUACCCACUCACUGACGUCCAAGCCCUCCGCUGGCCCCGGUGACCCUCUGCCUCUGUCCCUGGAGCCCCCAGCUCCAGCUCCCUCUGAAAAGACUGGCUGGAUGGACAAUUAAUAGUGUGCGGAAGACCGCAGCCCGAGACCGGGAGCAGAGUGGAUGGAAAGAAGCCCGGACUCUGACGGCUCGGUGACCAUGGCCGUGUGAGGCCUUGUGCCGUGGACCUCUUCCUUCUUUACACAGAUCCUGGCCGGCCAGGGCCACGGGGGCUGGCAGUGUGGGAGCAGGCCCAGGCGCCCUCCGCCCCACGACGGCCCCUCCCGUGCCGCAGGUGUGAAGGGCCCCUAGUGCAUGUCGGAGUUGACCUUGUCCUGGAAGAUGUAGAGGUUGUUGGUGGCAGCGAUGGCGAUGAUGUUCUCCGCCGGGUGCCAGGCCGUGUGCAGGAUCUUCUUGGCGAAGUCCAAGCUGUCCACGCUGAUGUCGUCACGCCGCCGCUUGCCACCGAUGCACACGCGCCGGGGCUUGAGCACGGCCCUCGGCUUGCUGCUCUCGCGCGACGCCUCCAGGGUCACAUCCCGCUUGCUGUUGCGGUCGAACAUGCGGAAGAAAUUGUUGUAGGCCCCAGUCAUGAUGACACUGGUGGGAGAGGGACAGUGUCAGCCAGGGGACAGACAGGGACGGGGCUGGGAAGCCCAGGUCACAGCUGCCACUGCCACUCAGACUUCGGGACCACACGGCCAGGCCCCUUUCAGGCUCUGCCCAAACACAGACGCAAAGCCCUCCGUCACCCUCCCUUGGUGCAGGAACUGACCCUGGCUUCUCCACCUGAGGAAACAGUGCUGCAGAUGCCCGGGAGUGACCUCCCCAGGGGCCAGGGCAGGG